AACGAACGCUGGCGGCGUGCCUAACACAUGCAAGUCGAACGAGAAAGGGGCUUCGGCUCCGAGUAAAGUGGCGCACGGGUGAGUAACACGUGGGUAACCUGCCUCUAAGAUUGGGAUAACUCGUCGAAAGAUGAGCUAAUACCGAAUAAGACCACAGUUCCCGCGGGAACAGGGGUCAAAGGUAGCCUCUGCUUGCAAGCUAUCACUUAGAGAUGGGCCUGCGCACCAUUAGCUAGUUGGUAGGGUAACGGCCUACCAAGGCAAAGAUGGUUAGCUGGUCUGAGAGGAUGAUCAGCCACACUGGAACGGAGACACGGUCCAGACUCCUACGGGAGGCAGCAGUGGGGAAUAUUGCGCAAUGGGCGAAAGAUUGACGCAGCAACGCCGCGUGAGUGAUGAAGGCCGUCGGGUCGUAAAGCUCUGUCGGGAGGAACGAAUGCUCCUGAGGUUAACAGCCUCGGGAGGUGACGGUACCUUCAAAGGAAGCACCGGCUAACUCUGUG
rnacentral:rRNA from 1 species